AGAGUUUGAUCCUGGCUCAGGACGAACGCUGGCGGCGUGCUUCAGACAUGCAAGUCGAGCGGGCGGAGGCCGAACCGCAAGGGGAGGCUGAAGCUAGCGGCGAACGGGUGAGUAACACGUGGGUAAUCUGCCCGGAAGACUGGGAUAACGGUCCGAAAGGGCCGCUAAUACCGGAUAAUGUCGUUUUUCCGCAUGGGGAGACGAAGAGAGGCUUCGGUCACUUUCGGAUGAGCCCGCGACCCAUCAGCUAGUUGGUGAGGUAAAGGCUCACCAAGGCGACGACGGGUAGCCGGUCUGAGAGGAUGGUCGGCCACACUGGGACUGAGAUACGGCCCAGACUCCUACGGGAGGCAGCAGUCGGGAAUAUUGGGCAAUGGGCGAAAGCCUGACCCAGCGACGCCGCGUGAGGGAAGAAGGCCUUCGGGUCGUAAACCUCUGUCAUGGGGGACGAAGGAAGUGACGGUACCCGAGGAGGAAGCCCCUGCUAACUACGUGCCAGCAGCCGCGGUAAUACGUAGGGGGCGAGCGUUGUCCGGAGUUAUUGGGCGUAAAGGGCGUGUAGGCGGCCUGUUAAGUCAGGUGUAAAAUUUCAGGGCUUAACCCUGAAACUGCGUUUGAAACUGGNAGGCUUGAGGACAGGANAGGGAAGUGGAAUUCCCCGGUGUAGCGGUGGAAUGCGUAGAUAUCGGGAGGAACGCCAGUGGCGAA
rnacentral:rRNA from 1 species